rnacentral:rRNA from 1 species
GACGAACGCUGGCGGCGUGCCUAAUACAUGCAAGUAGAACGAUGAAGGAGGAGCUUGCUUCUCUGGAUGAGUUGCGAACGGGUGAGUAACGCGUAGGUAACCUGCCUGGUAGAGGGGGAUAACUAUUGGAAACGAUAGCUAAUACCGCAUAAUAGUAGAUGUUGCAUGACAUUUGCCUAAAAGGUGCAAUUGCAUCACUACCAGAUGGACCUGCGUUGUAUUAGCUAGUUGGUGGGGUAACGGCUCACCAAGGCGACGAUACAUAGCCGACCUGAGAGGGUGAUCGGCCACACUGGGACUGAGACACGGCCCAGACUCCUACGGGAGGCAGCAGUAGGGAAUCUUCGGCAAUUGACGGAAGUCUUACCGAGCAACGCCGCGUGAGUGAAGAAGGUUGUCGGAUCGUAAAGCUCUGUUGUAAGGGAAGAACGAGUGUGGGAGUGGAAAGUUCACACUGUGACGGUAUCUUACCAGAAAGGGACGGCUAACUACGUG